CGUAGAUCGUCAAAACCGCGUGAGUAACUCGGCAGGCUCAUAACCUGAAGGUCGCAGGUUCAAAUCCUGCUCCCACAACCA
rnacentral:tRNA from 1 species